AUACGGCCAUAUCACGUUGAAACAUCGGUUCCCGUGUGAUCACCAAAAGUUAAGUAAGGUCGAACCUGGUCAGUACCUAGAUGGGUGACCGCUUGGGAAUACCUGGUGCU